CGCAGCGAAGCUUAGCUACACACCAAACUCUCUUGUUUGUUUCCGGCGUAUUGCUGUGCACUACUUAGUACACGCGUAUCGGUUUGCACUCCAGAUGUAGCAAUUGAAAACGAAGAUAUUCCUGGAAAGUUUGCAACCGCGUGGGUGCUAGGCAGUGCACAGCGAUAUGCUGGGUAUGGACAGCUACUUUUGAACUCAAUCAUUUAGUAACUACAGCGCU
rnacentral:pre_miRNA from 1 species